rnacentral:rRNA from 1 species
ACUCAAAGGAAUUGACGGGGGCCCGCACAAGCGGCGGAGCAUGUUGCUUAAUUCGAGGCAACGCGAAGAACCUUACCUGGGUUGAACUACGCGGGAAAAGCCAUAGAGAUAUGGUGUCCUUCGGGGUCCGCGAUAGGUGGUGCAUGGCUGUCGUCAGCUCGUGUCGUGAGAUGUUGGGUUAAGUCCCGCAACGAGCGCAACCCUUAUCCUAUGUUGCCAGCGGGUUAUGCCGGGGACUCGUAGGAGACUGCCGGGGUCAACUCGGAGGAAGGUGGGGACGAGGUCAAGUCAUCAUGCCCCUUAUGUCCAGGGCUGCAAACAUGCUACAAUGGCUGGUACAAAGGGCUGCUAUACCGCGAGGUGGAGCGAAUCCCAUAAAGCCAGUCUCAGUUCGGAUCGGAGUCUGCAACUCGACUCCGUGAAGUCGGAGUCGCUAGUAAUCCCGGAUCAGCAAUGCCGGGGUGAAUACGUUCCCGGGCCUUGUACACACCGCCCGU